CAGUUGAAGGACUGCCAUUUUAAUGCUGUGGAUUUUGUGGGCCGCUGCUCAACAAUGGGGAAAUUUCAUUAAGCUGAGCCAAAGCUAAUUUUGAAGCAGUUCUGAGACAUUCCCUAUUAAGUAGAGAAAGGAUUUGAUUCCUUAUCCUUCCUUUCAUGCUUGAGGGAUCUCAGAACCCUUGACAAAGCAAUGACUGCAAUACUGACUGAAAGUAAAGGAAGCCCUAUUCAAAUGGUUAGCAUUGCCUCCCAGAUGCCAAAAUUCCCAAUUUUUUAAGAAAGUUCAUCAUUCAGAACUAUUAAGAAUUUUUCCACUCUUUGGUAGAAGAAUAAUAGGUCAUAGAUUUAUAGAGAGGUCUUUCUUCAAUCAGUUCAGACGCCUCAAUUGCUCACUGUCUCAAAAGAUGGAGUGUAAACAUGUGUAAUAUUUAAUUUCUAUGUACAAGCAAAGACUCAUAAUUUUCUGGACCACACAGAAUCUCUGUAAAAGUUUUGGAUCUAAUCUCUGCUUCUGUACUAAUUCCAAAAAAGUCAAUGAAGUCUGAAGGCAUUUGGCAAUAGAACUAACCAAUUUAAACUCUGUGCUUUAGCCUACAACCCAAAAGUCAAUGUUUCAUAAAUAUUUGAACAUAGCUAUUGGAAGUCCCGCUGGUUAUCUUUUAAGUUGUACUUUGCUUUUGGACGAAGAACCAUAUCAGAGUAUCAUUCUCCCAUAAAAAUCUGUAAAAUAAUGUUUAAAUAGUCAC
rnacentral:lncRNA from 1 species